ensembl:snRNA U6 U6 spliceosomal RNA
GUGCUCAUUUGGGCAGCACAUAUACUAAACUUGGAAUGAUACAGAGAAGAUUGGCCAGGCUCCUGCACAAGGAUGGCACACAAAUUCAUGAAAUGUUCUAUAUUUGU